UGUGGGAGCGAGCCUGCUCGCGAUGACGGCAGUAAAUCCAACUUCUGUGCAACUGAAUUACCGCUAUCGCGAGCAGGCUCGCUCCCACA
rnacentral:misc_RNA from 1 species